UUUUGCAGGUGGUGCAAUCAAACUGAUGUCUGAAGCACACAGUAGCUGACAACUGCAUUGAAACUACCAUUAGUUUUGACUAUGAAGGCUCUAUUGCGCUUUUCAUUUUUAAGUAUCGCCUUGCAGAACCUGUGGUCUGGAAAUUUCCCCGGGAUGAAUGUUUACGCCAGUAAUUGCGAGCAUAGACAGCUGCUCAAGAGACAAGUGGUGGACAGCUUGCUGUGAAAGAUGGAAGCAUUCUUCCUGCAAGUCUGGACAAGGCCAUAUUAAAUGGCUUCAUCUGUCACAAAUCGCUGGCCACGAAUGUAAAGAACACCUUGGCCCCACUUCUGUCGAGGGAACCGAAGUUGCCUGAACAGAUGAAGAGCGGUGGUGCUACCAAUAGUGAACGACUGUGAUUUUAUAAUGUGCAAGUGUACGAACAAUCGCGUUACGCUAAUUUAACAUUAAUUGCAUUCACUAGUCAAGUGUUGCAAUAUUGUAAUGUGUAAGUUUAUGUGCAGUUGCAUUAAGUGAGCGCUCAAUCAAGCUUCAAGUUUGCAAUCCCAUAUUUUGGUGGUAUUCAUAGGGCGCACAUUCCACUUUAAAUUGUGAUCUGCUCCUUUACUGAGGGUGCAUGCAGGUCCUUGAAACGAUUGAAAACCCUUGAAAAAGUAAAAGUACAUUUUUAAAGCCCUGAAACCCUUGAAAACCUUUGGAAUUUCUUAGCAUAUAGUGGCCAAUAUUGACAAUACUAAUUUCUUUCUGUGUUCUGUAAACAUUUGUCUAGCAAACUGAGGGAACAUGUCGUGCUCAAUGAUGAUUCCGCUACUGUGUUUACCUUGCUUGCAUCACUGCUUGACCGAUCAUUCAUUUCGUUUCCGCAAGUGUCGCUCUGCCUUCUCCCCCUUUCUCUUGAUUUGGCUCCUCGGGACUCGACUUCACUUCCAGCGCCUAGCUUCUCUUCUUCUAUAGCAAGCUCACUACGUGUGAAAGAUCUUCUAGCUCUACAAACAUCCACUGUCCUAUAAUGCAGGCAAAAUGUGAAAAAAAAAGUUGAUGCUUCGUGCUAGAAACCAAGUACUUCUGACUAAAGCUGAUGGCAUUGCUGCUCAGGCUUAAUGAUUGACUCCCAUGUAGUGAUUGUUAUUGCUCUUUUGUGUAGGCAAGAACCUUGACUUUAUAUGUAGAGGAUAUUUGCUAAGUUGAUUGCUCUACUGGCAUAAAUCCAAUUCGCACUUGACUCAAUUGUUAUCAAAGCCCAAAAACAGGAGAAGCAUGAUGACUGCAUGGAGUCAAAAAUGUAUUCAACGAUCAAAUUGUAAAAAUUGGGGAUAAAAUUUUGAAGCAGUCAUUACUAUUUUGUUUAGCAGGUCAGUACUUGGAAAAAGUAGAAGCGUCGUACAUCACCGUCAUAAAACUGAACAGUUUCUCAAUGCCUGAAAAAGUGAGACGGGGGAACUGAACAAGAUUACUUAUCUAAUAUAAAAGAUGUCCCAGCAGCUGCAUCAAUGCUGUGAAUUUUGUGCAAAGCAGGAAGCUAAUAUGAUCAGGUAGAGUAUCGGACGCAUUAUCUCAAGGUUGUAGAUUUGGUCCCUAUCAGCAGCAAGUUGAUUUUUCAUCCUCUUUAAUUCCUUUCCAUUUAUGUCAUAAUUACUACUCUACAGUUAAAGCCUACGAAUUAUGUGCUUUAUACUUUCCUUGGCUUCAUUGUCUCUAGGUUCUCACUUGGCUGAAUCCCAUUUUUUACUUCAAAUGCUUAAAGCUGCCCGUAUUGUUUUGGAAACUUUGUUAGAGCAGAAAAUUGAUACUUGUGAUGCUGCCUUCCAUCCUCCAAGAACCUUCUAUAGGAAUCCUUGAAGAUCCUUGAAUUUGGGCUUUGAAACCAGUAUGAGCCUUGUUCACUCCUUCAGCACAUUUCUUCCCGUAGUGUGUGUGCCUUGUCAACAGUGUUUAUGCUCUUUUUUACCUUCUGAUACCUGUAGUUGUCUAAAAUUUAUUUAUUAGAGUGGUGCUUUACAUAGUGUUUAACUUAUUUUGUCAACUUGGAUGCAGUUUGCACAUUACAGUGGGAAGUUCUCGCUAUGUCAAACCACAAAUACUUAGGAACUUCAACAAAAGUUGUUGCUUAAAAAUAAAUAUUUUACUUAGAAAACUGUUCUCUUCUUUCUUCCCAAGUUACACGGAAACUCGGCUAGUGUCCAUUAAAACAAGCUGAUAGAGAAGAACAGAAG